GAUGAACGCUGGCGGCGUGCCUAAUACAUGCAAGUCGAGCGAACAGACGAGGAGCUUGCUCCUCUGACGUUAGCGGCGGACGGGUGAGUAACACGUGGAUAACCUACCUAUAAGACUGGGAUAACUUCGGGAAACCGGAGCUAAUACCGGAGAAUAUAUUGAACCGCAUGGUUCAAUAGUGAAAGACGGUUUUGCUGUCACUUAUAGAUGGAUCCGCGCCGCAUUAGCUAGUUGGUAAGGUAACGGCUUACCAAGGCAACGAUGCGUAGCCGGCCUGAGAGGGUGAUCGGCCACACUGGAACUGAGACACGGUCCAGACUCCUACGGGAGGCAGCAGUAGGGAAUCUUCCACAAUGGGCGAAAGCCUGACGGAGCAACGCCGCGUGAGUGAUGAAGGUCUUCGGAUCGUAAAACUCUGUUAUUAGGGAAGAACAAAUGUGUAAGUAACUAUGCACGUCCUGACGGUACCUAAUCAGAAAGCCACGGCUAACUACGUG
rnacentral:rRNA from 1 species